ensembl:rRNA nuclear encoded rRNA 5S 160
GUCUACAGCCAAACCGGUCUGACUGUGCCCCAUAUCCAUCUGAUCUUAGAAGAAAAGCAAAGGCUGGCCUGCUUAGUACUUGGAUGGGAAAUAACUUGGGAAUACUAGAUACUGUAGAGU